AACCAAGAUUGCACUGGAACAUCCCAUG
rnacentral:piRNA from 1 species